rnacentral:lncRNA from 1 species
AGAAAACACAGUGUUUUGUUGAUUUAUGUUCAUAUAAUCUCUUUAUUGAAUGCUCAGGAUAAAGAAGGAACAGAUGAUAAUCCAGGAAAGACUCGUGCUCCUCUUUGCCUCUUUAGAAAUCAAACGGUGCAGGCCAACCCCAGGGGAUACUAGUGAGACUAGGGCUUCAGGGGUCUGUGACCGGUUCUUAUUCAUGUAUCAGCUUGCACAUAAAAAUCCUGGUUCCAUCGCCAAGCCCUUUGGAAACCAGUGGCAGAUGAACUAAGACAAGGCUUUUUUAUUCACCACGCUCCUGCAAGAAGCCAGGUGCAGCAGCAGCAGCAGCACAGGCUUUGGUGUUCCAGGUAAACUAGACCUGCUGGGCGUCUCCUCCCCAGAGUUUACCUCCCAGCAGGGGAGCCAGGCAGGUCCAGGCACAAGCCAGUGACUCCAUCAAAUAUAUCCCGUGGCAAUGCAUUUUCAGAAGCAAGGUUGCUGGUUGGCAAGGAGCUGCAGGAGACAGGAGGGGCUGCGACCGUGAGGCUUUGGAGGUGAGCAGAGUGAGGCCAGGAGCCCAGUGGGGAGUGUCAGGCAGGAGGACCAGAAGGCACAGAGACACCCUGCCCAGGCGAGGGUCAUUCUUGUGGAGAGAUUGUGUUGACCAGAGGGCCUGUUCCUGUGCCCUGUGAUUUUUAAAUUUAGAAUUGAGGUCUGCGUGUGCGGGGAAAUAUUGAUCCUUUCUUUGUGUCUGUGAAGAGAGCUGCAUAUAUUCAGAGUUUAAGAUAAAUGUACAUUCUAAUCGUUAGCAAUGCGGAUAAACUUUUCUUCAUGUCAGUGUUUGUGUGUGGAUUAUUUGACAUUUUGUAUGCCAGUUGUGGGUUAGGAAGGUAAAGGACUUGCUCAAGGUCAUGCAUGACACCUGUGGAUGUGAGAGCCAACAUUAAUCAUAAAUGACUUUGUGAGAUCUCUUCUGUAUGUAUAUAUACACAUAUAUAUACAUGUAUAUUACAUACACAUAUCUGCAUAUAUGUACACACACUAUAGAUUAUGUCUUAAUACGUAUUCUUUACUGCAUUCUGGGUUAACUUCACCAGUAACUUCUCAUUGGCACCUGUUUUCUUUCACCAACUUGCAAUGCAGAUAGGGCAGAUGCCUGCCUUAGGGUUCCGGGGGUCCUACAGAGAAUAUCACAGGAUUGAAAACAAGCCCAAAUUCCCCAGCAGAAGGCACUGCCAUGGCAACCACAAUGAGAAACGACUUCCUACUCUCUAGACAGGAGGCAUUAGAUAGCCAGGCAGUAGCAAGCUU